UGGAUAAAACACCAAAAUCUUACUUAAAUUUGUUACUUCAAUUUGUAUACCACUAUAAAAACAAUUUAUAACUUUAAUUGUUUAAAUUUACAAAAUUAAAAUAUAUUAAGUCAAGGUGCAGUAAAAAUUUAAGAAUGAAGUGAAUUACA
rnacentral:rRNA from 1 species